rnacentral:lncRNA from 1 species
CCGUAUUUGCACAACUUUUUGGAAUUUUGGGUCCUCAAUGCUCUUCAACUUUGUACUUGUUUGGCUUUAUAACUAUUUUGAUCUGAGCGUCACUGAUGAGUCUUAUGUAGACGAAACGCGUCUGGCGUAUUAUAUUAAAUCCUUGUACCUUUGAUAACUAUUACAACAGUUAUUUUGUGAUUGAAUUUGGGCUACUGAUAAGGACACUAUUAGAUAUAUUAAAAACUUAUCUAUACUUGGGCGAUUUAAUGCUUGACAAAUUAUACUGUAGAUACUUGACUUAUAUCUAUAAGAAUAUAAAAAAGAAGAUGUGAUAUGAUUGCCAAUGAGACAACUAUCCACAAAAGACCAAAAUGACACAGAAAUCAACUAUAGUUCACCGUACGGCCUUCAACCUAUAAGAAGUUGGGUUAUGAUUGCCAAUGAGACAACUU